rnacentral:lncRNA from 1 species
CUCCACGUCCAGGGCCAGCUUGGCAUUCAUCAGCGCCUGGUACGCACAAAGCAGCAGGGCCAGGUCCUCUUUGGCACUCAGCACCUCCUUCUUCCCUUGCCAGCUCACUGGAGGGAGGGCCAGUUCAAAGUAAAGUGGAAGAGAAUGAACUCGGUGGAGAGAGAGAGAAGCAAAACACACCAUAAAUUCACACCAACACACACACACACACACACACACACACACACAAACAGACAUCACAGAACCACAGGCAU